CCAAAUAGUGAAAUUGUUCACCAACUUAUCUCUGAUGUGGUAAAUGUUUUAAAUGCGUUAUACCCAGCUAUUGGCGUUCAAUACUGGCGAUCAUCUGAGGUGUAAAUGUAUCAGAAAGCUGCAAAUGUCACUGAUAAGUGGUCCAUCGACAGACAUAUGCGUCAAUUCUUAUCAGUGAUGCAAUUUAUUAUCAGUUAUGAAUCUUCUGGUAAUUGCUAACAACAGUUUCAAUUUUCAUUUAGGACUGUGGCUGCAUCACUGGCAUCUUGCACAAGAAAGGCACCCGAGUGUCAUGUUUUGAGUUUCCUGGAAAAUCAUACUGAGACUGCAAAUACACCACCCUCGCCUUUACCUGCAUCUCACACGGGAAAGGGACGCAGAUGUGACAAUAACAGUGGAAAAGAACCUGUGGCAAAGAGAGCUAAAGCAAAUAAGCAUCCCACUUGGUCAUGGAAAACAGAGGCUGAUGUUGACAUGUCUCCACAGGCUCUGAGAUUCCUGCCAACUCAGGAACCUGGACCACAGCUAAGACCAUGUGAUGCACACACUCCCAUGAGUCUAUUCAAAAAGUUUUUUUUCUGAAACUGCUGUGUCAACUCUGUGUCGAAACACCAAUGGUCAGGCUGCCAGGGCAUGUGCAAAGGGCUAUAAAUAUAAAUGGACAGACAUCAGCAUCAAUGAGCUGUACUGCUAAAUUGGGAUACUCUUCUACCUGGCCAUGGUGAAGUUGAGUUCCAUCAGAGACUACUGGUGGCAGGACAAUCUUUUCUCUUUUCCUUUCCUUUUCCUUUUCUCUGUUCCUGCCACAGUAAUGUCAAGGGACAGAAACUGCACCAUUUCAUGGAACAUGCACAUGAGUCACCCAGAUGCAGACCAGGACAAUGACAGAAAGAGAGGCACAGCUGAACACGACCGUCUUUUCAGGGUCAGACCCCUCAUGGACACUAUCCGGCAUGCAUGUAAGGCCAUCUAUCAUCCAAGAAAAAAUUUGGCAGUGGAUGAAAGAAUGGUGGCAUGCAACGCAAACAAAGGAAUGACUCAGUACAUGAAAGCCAAGCCAACCAGGUGGGGCUUCAAAUUGUUUGUUCUUGUGGACUCAUCAAAUGGAUAUACUGUAGAUUUUGCUGUUUACACAUGAAAGAACAACUUUCCCACAGCCCAUGGACUGUCAUAUGACGCUGUGACAUCUCUGUUAGACCGUACAGUUUUGGGCUCUGGGUACCAUGUAUACAUGGAUAAUUUUUACACUAGUCCCAAGCUCCUAACAGACUUGUUUGCUUUGAAGUUUUGUGCAUGUGGGACUUACAGAGACAACAGGAAAGACUGCCCUUGAAAUGCAGCUAACUCACUCACCAAAAAAUCUGAGAGGGGCUCCAUCAGGUGGAUUCGAGACAAACAUCUUGUGUUUGUGAAAUGGAUGGACACACGAGAGGUGUUCCACCAUCCAUGCUGCUUAUAAAGGAGACAAUGUGCAGAGGAGUGUGAAAACACAAAAUGGAUGGAGGACAAAGAGUUUUCCAUGUCCUGCACCUGUGACUGCCUACAACCAGCUGACCUGUCUGAUUAGCUGUUACAGUACAACAGUACACAGCACAAAACAGUGAAGUGGUACAGAAAGCUAUUUCUACACUUCUUGGAUAUUGCUGCCACCAAUGCUUUUAUUGUACACAAAGAGCUUAAUGGCACCAUGAGCCACAAGGAGUUUAUGGAAGAUCUAGUUGCAGAGCUCUGUGGUGUGUCACACCACAUACACCAAUACCACCAAAAUGGACCAAUGCUGACCAUGUGCCUUUUCCAGGAGUUGAGCAGGCCUCAGGUGCCACUACAUUUACAUUUACAUUUACAUUUAAUCAUUUAGCAGAUGCUUUUAUCCAAAGCGACUAGACAAGAAAAGAAAAGGUAAGUGCUUAGUAUUAGUUGGUUAAGUGCUGGCGGAAAAGAUGAGUAUUUAGAUCUUUUUUGAAAAUGAGUAAAGACUCAACUGUUCGAAUUGAGAUCGGGAGGUCAUUCCACCAGUUGGUCACAGUCCAGGAAAAGGUCUGUGAGAGUGAUUUUGAACCUCUUUGGGAU